GGAAGGAUGAGAAGCUUCGACUAAGGUUCGAUUCGAGCGAAAGCGAGAAAGCGUUGCCGCAGGCAACGACCCGAAGGGCGAAACGCGCAGCGCUGAGUCAUCCUUCCCCCACCACCA
rnacentral:sRNA from 2 species